rnacentral:tRNA from 1 species
UGGGUACUAGUUUAAGGAAAAUAUUUCUUUUACAUGGAAAAGAUUCGGGUAGGAUGCCAGAGGAUUCAG